UUUCCCCCCUCAAGGUGUCUAAGCUGUGAGACAUUUAAUCGCCGCGGUAACGGUUUCAUAUCUGGAACAGAAAUCAAAUAAUGCCAGAUGAUUUACUCCCCCUAGCAACCAGGGAGCACAGCCCUAGCAACCGACCCAGCCAGCAGGCCAGACCUAAUCAGAAAGCGAACGGCAGAGUUGGCGAGGCAGAAGUGACAGAGGAGAGCCAAAGAGCGGCGACAGGAUCCAAACUCCAGGGUGCCAAAGGACCAAAUCGAGCUUUACUCCUCACUCUGUCGAACACAGUCGCGCUACGCCCGUCCGUGUGGGAGCUUUAGAGAAAGUGGACGAGACGAGUCUCCUUCAUUGGCGUUCGGCUGUUUGGACGGAGGCAGAGGGGAGAGUGCGACAGAGCAGACAGACACACGAACCAGGAGGAAAAAAAGAGAGACGGCUCGACAGGAGGAGAGAAUGAAGGCUGAAUGACAGAGAGAAAUGGAUGUAAAAAAAAUGGGUAUUUGAGAGAUUAUGAAUUUACAUAUCUUAAUAGAGAAAUGCAUGCUACGGCUCUCCACCUAAAAAAAAAGCUGCACGGCUCAUCUUCAGAAUUACAGAAUGUAUGCGCCGUUAUUGUGUGUGUCUGUGUGUGCGGUUUGUGUGAAUCAUAACAGACCUGUAUUUUAAGGGUCGCUCUCCUCUCAAGUUGUUAUCAAUGAUCAAAAUUGUUUGAGUGAUUUCAUACUAAAUGUCACAUUUAAAAACCAUUUUGAAGAGCUUUCCUCUCAAAGCCCACGGAGGCCUCAGUGGAGGUGGGAGACCAAUCCAGCGCCAGCUUGCUUUCACCAAACUGAAGAGUUAUGUUGUGAGAUUUUCACAAUUAACAUUUCGAAAUUUGACUUUUUUGUUGUUGUUCAUUUGAAAUGCUUUCCAAGAGAAUUGUGGGUAGCUGGUUCUGCUCCGACGCCCACGUCUCAAAGUGUGUCGAGGUUUGUUGUCGACCCAGUGAAUGACUGUUUACCCGGUUAAUGUUUGUUUACCUGGUGAAUGUUUGUUUACGUGGUGAAUGUUUG